rnacentral:lncRNA from 10 species
UACAUUGUGUUUUCACUAUCAUUCAGUUCAAAAUAUUUUCUAAUUUCCUUUGUGUUUCUUUUUUGACUGAUUGGGUUAUUUUGAAGUAUGUUGUUUAAUUUCCCAACAUAAUUUUGAGAUUGUUAGGCGUAUUACCACUGUUGAUAUGCCAUUCCAUGUCUGUGUGGUCAGAGAACACAGUCUGUAAUAUUUAAAUCUUGAAAUUUAUUUUAUAGCCCAGCAUGUGAUCCAGCUUGAUGAACAUUCCAUGUGCACGUGACAAGAAUGGAUAUUCUGCUGUUGUUGGCUGUAGUGUUCUAUGUCAGCCAUCCCUGUGGGGGUGUCAGUGAUGCUUGGACUCCACUAACUGCACCAUUGUCCUACUCCAUCUCCUUUGAGCCUGCUGUCAACCUCUGCACACAUGGCCUCAGCCCCUAGCCCUGGAUGACCACCAUUAGACCCAGCAGAACGGCAGCAGUGGUUUGCUGGCCCAGCACCUAGAGCUGCAGAAUAUGCUCCCUUGACCCUCAGGGAAAGAUGCAGAGCUAGUGAGACUUACUCUCCUCCACCACCAAAGUGAAGAAGUCUGAGAUCCAGGUGCCGGCAGGGCCACACCCCCUCUGAGGGCUCGGGGUAAGAAGCGUCCUGGCCUCUUCCAGCUCCCUGUGGCUCCAGGAUCCUGGGCUUGUGGCUGCGUCGCUCCUGCCUCUGCCUCUGUCUUCACGUGGCCUGUCCCCAUGUAUCUUUUCCUCUCCUCCUCAGGACAUUUGUCAUUGGAUUUAGGGCCCACCCAGAAUCCAGGAGGGGCUCAUCUUCAGAUCCUUAAUGACAUCUACAAAGACCCUUUAUCUAAAUAGGUCAGAUUCACAGGUCCCGGCGGUUAGGACAUGGACAUACGUUUUUGAGGGCGCCAUUCAACCCGCAACGGGAGCCAUCACAUUCUCAUUUCUCCUUCCUUAAUGUUCUCACGGGCCCAGCACACAGGCCAGGAUGGAGCAUUCUUUGAGGUGUUCCUGGGAGCCCAGCAACAGACUGGGUGUUCAGUGUGCCCCUGUCGGUCUCCACGUGGGCCCUGCAAGAAGGAGCCACCCCCGUUUUACGGGGGGUUCAGGGCUUGUGGCCAGAUGUGCAGCUAGGCCUGGAUCAGGCUCCCGUCCGGCCCCAGUGCGUCUGCCGUGCCCGUGACCCCAGGCUGUGUCUCUCAGAAUCCGCCAAGAUUCCAGGGCAGGUAACUGCAGAGCUCCCCCGAGUCCUGUGCACGCCUCGGCUCACACUGCAGCUCAGCAGCAGCAACGCGGGUGACAGAAACCAGCUCUGUGUCUGUGAGCCUCUGCCUCACCUUCUGGGGGAUGGCACAGUAUUGCUCCAAGACAUGCAAACAGCUGCGGGCAGCAGAGACAGUGAGGCAACCCUGCCACACUCUCCAACCAUGCCCUCCUCAGGCAUGCGGAGAAAGCACCCCUUCAUCUGUGCAAGGAAUCCUCAAGCAGCAGACAAAAUUCAUGCACUGUUAAUUCAGAUGUUACAGUCACAUCCAGUGCUAAGGGCUGUCCUUUGAAAACAGCUGAGGUAGACACAUCUUCCAAGAACAAAUCAUAGAAAUGUUACCAGGCGAUUGUCUUCACAACCUCUGCAUCAGUGAUGGGGACUUGGGGGUAAGCUUUUGGUUGGCGUUGUGAACAGUGCCAGCUCCCUAAAGCAAGCUUGCUUUUCUGUUGUUUGAAAUACUGCAGGAGAACUGAAAUUCUCUUAAAAUAUACCGGUUUCUGGUUCAAGAGAAAUACUUUUUUGCACCAAUUUAAUUCAGGUUUCUAAAGCCGAGGCAGGGAUGGCAUCACAGUCUGUUGAAUGAAUUCCAGCUCAUUUGGGGCCUUUCCAUGACAAAUCAUUCCUAAUGGAAUCUCUCCAAAGCACAGGGGAAAAAAUCGAAGGCAUCAAAGUGCCCUUUCCAUUUCAAUAAACUCCACUGGCCAGGAUUCUGUUUGCAUAACACAGAAUAAACAUGGAACCCAGGCCUGCCCAGCACAUUUACUCCCUGGUUAGCACCUCUGUUCACCUGUUUUCUCUUUUAUAUGAGUGACCAUUUCCUAAAACGCAAUCAAUCAAUCACUGUCAAGUAAGAUCUUGAAAUUAUCACCAUGGAGAAAAGACAUGAAGAGUCUGCAUUAAGGUAACGUGACCGGUGCCUAGAGUGAGGAAGGAGCACGUUCAGAAUGGUCCCGGGUCAUUUUCAAGACCUUCCCCCCGUCACUGUUGGAUGAAGUAAGGAGCCGGACAUCAGUGUUUAUUAAACCAGAUUUAUUCUCCACAAGCUGAAGAUACCUGAGGUUACAUGAGGACUGGCAUUAAAUAAUUUAUAAAUGUAUUUUU